rnacentral:rRNA from 1 species
GUACACACCGCCCGUCACACCACGAGAGCUGGCUUCAUCCGAAGUUGGUGAGCUAACCCUUAAGGGAGGCAGCCAACGAAGAUGGGGCUGGUGAUUGGGGUGAAGUCGUAACAAGGUAGCCGUAGGGGAACCUGUGGCUGGAUCACCUCCUUU